UACGUAGGUCCCGAGCGUUGUCCGGAUUUAUUGGGCGUAAAGCGAGCGCAGGUGGUUUAUUAAGUCUGGUGUAAAAGGCAGUGGCUCAACCAUUGUAUGCAUUGGAAACUGAUAGACUUGAGCGCAGGAGAGGAGAGUGGAAUUCCAUGUGUAGCGGUGAAAUGCGUAGAUAUAUGGAGGAACACCGGUGGCGAAAGCGGCUCUCUGGCCUGUAACUGACACUGAGGCUCGAAAGCGUGGGGAGCAAACAGG
rnacentral:rRNA from 1 species